UCUCCUUUAAAAGUCUCUCCAUUCCUGUCAUUCCUAUGAUUAGCGACGGAGCGUAUGGGGUCUUAAGAUGGAGGACACUCCACUCCUCUGGUUGCUUUGUUGUUUCUCACGCUGCGACCGCAGGAGCUGACGCUGCGGGCAUGAAGUGAGCCCAAACACAGGAUUCCUCCUCGUUUCUAUCUUUUCUUUUCAUUGAGUUGAGCAGCGCCUCCUCCACAUUCCUCAGGCUGUCUGGACUGAGGAGGAGACAUUCCUCAGACCUUUGUUGGGCUCACCAGGCCCCUUUACCCAGAACUGAAGAGGUAGUAAAGCUCAAACCGCCAGAAUCAAAACGUCUUCCUCUGGGAUUUUCUGCUGUAACCUCCAGCCAUGACGCUCCUCAGCAUUUCCUCCGCACUGUUUGAACUGCUCAUGUUAUUUUAACGCACUGACAGAGCAGCUUAUCCAUGCAAACAAGGCUGAAUAAUGCACACAGAAGGGGAUCACAGACCCUCGCUCCCCCCUAUCACCUCCCACUCAACCCCCUGGAUCUCUUCAUCCAAAGACCCGAAACCGAUCCGGCACGACGCAGAGCUGCAGGGAUCACAAAGGCAACCAGGCGAAGAAGAGGAGGAGCGGUGCUGGAUAAUUACAGAUGAAGAUAACAACCACUGAGAUGCAGAUUAGCUUGGAAGGAGGAAACAAAGACGUUGAGGGAUAUGAUAUAAAUAUAUUUGUAGGGUCCGCAUUUACCGCAUCGUUUAUCAUUUAUCGAGAUAAAUUUCUUAUUAUGAUAAUAAUUCUGAUUUGUGAUUACCACAAUAAAUUCCAAUUAAUGAUGUUUCAAACCCCCAUAAACUGUACAAAUUGUUAAUUUUACAG